UCCAGCAGUUGUCAGCUGCCCAGAGCAGUUCUGUGCCUGUGCUAGUGUUACACUGCUGGGAGAGAAAUGUGCUGUCAGUGUUUCCUGGUAUUCCUGAUACUGUUCUAGUGUCAGUCAGUGCCAGGUUUUGGUAGCACUUUGCAUGCUUGAGAGUGGAGUAACUUUCUCUGCAGAGUUAAUCCUAGACUGGAUGCAAACAAU
rnacentral:snoRNA from 1 species